UCAAGCACGCGAGGCUGGCGAUGGUGGCGGCGUUUGGAUUCGCUGUGCAAGCGGCAGCCACGGGCAAGGGGCCACUCGACAAUUGGGUCACUCACUUGAGCGAUCCCCUUCACACCACCAUCAUCGACACCUUCUCCAAGUAGAAAUCUUUCAAUAAAGAGUGAGAAAGAAGACUGGUAUAGCUCGCUCUUCCUUUGGCUAAUCGAAUCGACCAAGACCAAUCAA
rnacentral:lncRNA from 1 species